rnacentral:tRNA from 2 species
GGAAAGAUAAGCUAAUUGUAAGCUUAUAGGUUCAUACCCUGUCUAUGGAGAAUACUCCUCUUUCUA